rfam:Caenorhabditis brenneri strain PB2801 C_brenneri-6.0.1_Cont1321.2, whole genome shotgun sequence.
UGGCAAUGAUAGAAUUCCUGUGCAGCGGCCGAGGCGAUCGGAUUGCGGCGUCGCCUGAGAAGGCGGGACCCAACGUCGCGCCUUUCGCCAGACGAUGGAUAAACUAUUGCACAGUGUCUGAGCUUC